rnacentral:siRNA from 1 species
UUAUUUCAAGCUGGAGAUUGU